CUCCGGUUGAUCCCGCCGGACCCGACUGCUAUCAGAGUGGGACUAAGCCAUGCGAGUCAACAUAGCAAUAUGUGGCAUACGGCUCAGUAACACGUAGUCAACAUGCCCAGGGGACGUGGAUAACCUCGGGAAACUGAGGAUAAACCGCGAUAGGUCAUCACUUCUGGAAUGGGUAAUGACUUAAAUCUAUAUGGCCCCUGGAUUGGACUGCGGCCGAUCAGGCUGUUGGUGAGGUAAUGGCCCACCAAACCUGUAACCGGUACGGGCUCUGAGAGGAGGAGCCCGGAGAUGGGCACUGAGACAAGGGCCCAGGCCCUAUGGGGCGCAGCAGGCGCGAAACCUCUGCAAUAGGCGAAAGCUUGACAGGGUUACUCUGAGUGAUUUCCGUUAAGGAGAUCUUUUGGCACCUCUAAAAAUGGUGCAGAAUAAGGGGUGGGCAAGUCUGGUGUCAGCCGCCGCGGUAAUACCAGCACCCCGAGUGGUCGGGACGUUUAUUGGGCCUAAAGCAUCCGUAGCCGGUUCUACAAGUCUUCCGUUAAAUCCACCUGCUUAACAGAUGGGCUGCGGAAGAUACUAUAGAGCUAGGAGGCGGGAGAGGCAAGCGGUACUCGAUGGGUAGGGGUAAAAUCCGUUGAUCCAUUGAAGACCACCAGUGGCGAAGGCGGCUUGCCAGAACGCGCUCGACGGUGAGGGAUGAAAGCUGGGGGAGCAAACCGGAUUAGAUACCCGGGUAGUCCCAGCUGUAAACGAUGCAGACUCGGUGAUGGGUUGGCCUCGCGCCUGCCCAGUGCCGCAGGGAAGCCGUUAAGUCUGCCGCCUGGGGAGUACGGUCGCAAGACUGAAACUUAAAGGAAUUGGCGGGGGAGCA
rnacentral:rRNA from 1 species